GACGAACUGUCCAAACGUUGUUCGGAAUCACUGGGCUUAAAGGGCGCGUAGGCGGUCGAUCAAGUCAGGGGUGAAAUCCUGCAGCUUAACUGUAGAAGUGCCUUUGAUACUGGUCGUCUCGAGGGAGGUAGGGGUGUGUGGAACUUCCAGUGGAGCGGUGAAAUGCGCAGAUAUCAGGAGGAACACCAAUGGCGAAGGCAGCACUCUGGGACGUGACUGACGCUGAGACGCGAAAGCGUGGGGAGCAAACAGG
rnacentral:rRNA from 1 species